ACUCCGCGGUACAGUCUCGUGCGCGCUUAGUCGUGGGAAGGAAAGAGGGGCUCCAGCGUCUCCCUGAGAGGCUGAGGGAGGGAGGAACCGCCGAGCCCUCCUUCCCCUGCUCGGCGGGCCCUGGCUGCAGCUAGCAGCUCUCCACCAUGCCCGGGGGCGUACCCUGGUCCGCCUACUUGAAAAUGCUUUCCUCCAGCCUCCUGGCCAUGUGCGCCGGGGCCCAGGUGGUGCAUUGGUACUAUCGGCCUGACCUGACAAUACCUGAAAUCCCACCAAAGCCUGGAGAACUCUAAAUGGAGCUUUUGGGACUGAAAGAGAGACGCCACGAACCUCAUGUUUCACAGCAGUAGAAACUUAAAAAUAACAGCUGUGCCAAGAAUUCUGUGAAUAAUGUCUUAAAUAUGUAUUUUAAACUUUAUUAAGUAAAACUACUUCUUAAAACACUUAAUUUAGGGGGCUCAAUGGCUCAGAGGUUAAGAGCACUGUCUGCUCUUACAGAGGUUCUGAGUUCAAUUCCCAGCAACCACUUGGUGGUUCAUAACCAUCUAUGAGUUGUACCCUGUUCUGGCCUGCAAGCAGAAUGCUGUAUACAUAAUAAAUCUUAAUAUUUUUUUAAAGAUAGUCUUACUAUACAUUCUAGGCUCACCUAGAACUUGCUAUGUAGAUCAGGCUGGCCUCUAGUUCACAGAAGAUAUCCUGACCGAAGUGUUGCCGUUUCAAACAAAACUACAGCAAGAUCCAUGACUGUCUUGUCAUCUUCAUCUUCCUGAUAGAAGGCUCUGUGAGAUAAAUGACUUCAUAGCCCUUCUUCAGAAGUCUCUCAACAAAUGGAGAAGAUUCCGCCUACAAGAUUAAAGGAAGUAUGUGUUUUCAAGUUCUGCCUUGGCACAUUAGCUGUGUGAGACAAAGACUAAAGGUAGUGUCCUCUGGUGUCUGCCUAACUAUCCCAGCUACACAAUUAACUUAUUUCCUCUCCCACAUUGGCUGUAUGCCUCCAGCUCCCAGGGACCCUAGCAGCUGCACUUCAUCUUACCUCCUUUCUGCUUGACCCAGCCAUGAAGUAGAUUUUGUCCUGUUUUUCCUUCAUUCUUUCCACAUACUGGUCUAAACUAGUAAUGUCAGUUGAAUGGUGAGAAGACUGGAACCUAAGAAGUUUAGCAAGCCGUGUUCGAUUUGAGUGGUCUUCAAUCACACCAAGCUUGAUAUUCGUGCCGAACUCCUUCCAGAAAGUGUCGUUAUACUUCUCAUCAGCAAUCUUCUUGAUCAUGUCCAGAGUUUUUCGGACAAGCUUCUUCCUAAUCACCUAAAGAAAAUGGAAUCUGGUUAGGAAGGUUUAUCUCAAACCUUUGCUUCUGAGACCAGGAUAGCAGCAACUGAGACAGCACAACUGCCACACCACUCAGCAAGGGACAGGAAGCACCAGGGCACUCCCACAUCAGACUGUGUUAGAAUUAACGACAACUGUUUCUAAUAUAUUCUAAUGCUAGAAC
ensembl:lincRNA